GUUGGUGAGAGGCUGGCUGGCUGAAAGAGCUGGUACCGGGAGAGCAUUAGGCAGAGAUUAGUGGUGUUUGUGGUGCGCCGUGGCGUGCCACCCCCGGCCCCCCAGCGGCGUGGUGCUCCGGUGGCAGCCGACCGUAACCUCUGGUGCCAGGGAUCAGAACCGUGCUGGGCGGACCGGGUGUGUUACAGCCCUGCUGAAGGGGUGGCCGCCGUGGGGCGCAACCAUGUGCUGGCUUCGGUACCGCAGCGGCACCGGCCUCGAUUAGAGAGCUUUGCAGUUAACUUCCGAAACAGUAGGUACCUACCCCGUGGUCCCGUUGAGUGACAACAUUUUAUUUUCAACCGUUCCGCGCGCUACCUCCAAAAUGGUCAGAGAAGAACCAGAAGACAUUUCCUGUCUGGAAAGUUCCUAAGUGUUGUUUUUUUACCAAGUGCUCAUGAGUGAAAUCUGCCUCUUAAGCAGGAGGUUCGUAGAGGUCUUAUAACAAAUGUGUUCUGCUGAUCCAUGGUCCACGUGGCUCACAGGUCGCCACAACCAGCUGCAUCGCGUUACCUCUAAAGAUGGUUGAUUUAAGAAAAAUUGGAGCAAUUUAAUGGACUAAAGAAGGCAGAGGAGUGUUUCCGACAAGCCAAGGAAAAAGCUACCUACAGUGUGAAACCCAAGCAUGCAUCGGGGAUUAAAGCCAAGCUGGGCAUGAAGAUAUGAGACUGUUGUUUUCCUGAAUUCCUCGCCAGGAGAGAGAGAGAGAACGUGAUGUAAUGGUUGGUGAACAACAAAGCCAAGUUGGAGAGCAUGUGUUGCUGCAGACAAAGCACUAAGGCUUAAAAACUAAAACAAUAUGCCUCAUAAUAGGCAAACUUUUUGAAAUAGGGCACUACUUUUGACCUGGAUCUGUAGGGCUCUGGUUGAAAGUAGGCCACUAUUUCAGAGACAGGGUUCCAUUUGGGGCGUUGAAGACAUUUCACAUUUUACCCCAAACAAGAGUCAGCCUCCUGUUGGCUAGCCUGCUCUGUGAAUCUGCUUGCUCAACAGUCUUCUACCAUAUAUCACCCCCCCCCGCCUCAAUAUCCCAUCACGAAGAGGAGAGAAAUGUCAAUGGGUCA
ensembl:lncRNA